AUACCCCUCAGGGGUAGCCAAGUUAAAAAAAAAAAAAAUCUGUUCUUAUCAGUUUAAUAUCUGAUACGUCCCCUAUCUGGGGACCAUAUAUUAAAUGGAUUUUUGAGAACGGGGGCCGAUUUCGAAGCUUGCUUCCGUCGCCCUAUGCAUUGACCCGAUAUGGCAGUAUCUUCGGGUACAGGGUUAAAAAG